GACGAACGCUGGCGGCGUGCCUAAUACAUGCAGGUCGAGCGAAUCGAUGGGAGCUUGCUCCCUGAGAUUAGCGGCGGACGGGUGAGUAACACGUGGGUAACCUGCCUGUAAGACUGGGAUAACUUCGGGAAACCGGAGCUAAUACCGGAUAGUUUCUUUUCUCGCAUGAGGAGAGAUGGAAAGAUGGUUCUGCUAUCACUUACAGAUGGACCCGCGGCGCAUUAGCUAGUUGGUGAGGUAACGGCUCACCAAGGCAACGAUGCGUAGCCGACCUGAGAGGGUGAUCGGCCACACUGGGACUGAGACACGGCCCAGACUCCUACGGGAGGCAGCAGUAGGGAAUCUUCCGCAAUGGACGAAAGUCUGACGGAGCAACGCCGCGUGAGCGAAGAAGGCCUUCGGGUCGUAAAGCUCUAUUGUUAGGGAAGAACAGGUACGAGAGUAACUGCUCGUACCUUGACGGUACCUAACCAGAAAGCCACGGCUAACUACGUGCCAGCCGCCGCAGUAA
rnacentral:rRNA from 1 species